UCUCCGUCGUGCCUGUGCCACCUCCCCCGCCCGCCCGAGACCCGCCAAGUUUCCCUUCCUUACACGGCGAGGUCCACCAUCGUCGCCCCUUCCCUGGCGAGCCACAGCCGUCCACGUUCCUGGCCACCGGCGACCUCCCUUCUCUAGCCCUUGGCGGCGAGCCAACACCUCCUCCCCAUGGCUGCCCCCCCAGACCCCAGUCCCGUCUGCGCAUCCGCUCCCCCGUCAGCGACACACCUAUUCUCCCCGACGUCGCCCAUGGCGUGGACGGCGAGCUCCCUCACCCUGCAACUCUGCACGUGUAAGGGCCAUGUUGCCCGCCUCCUUUCCCCACGCCGGCGCUGCCCCCUGUCGCCGCGGCCCCUUCCCCAAACAGCACGGCACCAUGUGCUCCCCUUGCCGCGCCCGCACUCUCCUUCCCCAAACAGCACGACCCCACAUCGCUAGUUGCCUCGCCUCGCCGGGGACCCAGCACGACGGUCAGGGAGUUGGUGGGUGGUGGAGACAGGGAGGAGCGGAGGAGGAGGUCAAGCUCAACAAGGACAUUGUGUUCGUGACGCUGCCUUCCCCACCGACACCGAUGACUCACUCCACAACCCAGAUCUGGGGCCCUUCCUCCUCAAGCCAUGGUAUUGGGCGAGGGUGGCGCCGCGUCGCGUGCUUGAGUUCGCCGAGCGCGCCGCCAGGGUGCUCGAGCGAAGAGGUGAGGGCACCGAGCUCGAGCUCGCCAUGAAUCUCCACAUCGUUACUGGCAUCCACUGCGGACUCAACCACCAAGCCCGCCCUCCCUCGUCGAGACAUUGCUGUCACCCUGCGCGCCUGCCCAUCCCCGCAUCACACCCGGGAGGCACACAGCGCCAAGGAUCCCCACCCUCCUCCCCACGCCGAUCUGUCCCUUCCUCCUCUCCGUCCGCUGUGCGCGCCGCGUCACUCUCGCCCUCGCCCCGUCUGUCUCGCUGUGUCCGCUCUCCGUCCACCUUCGCCCCGUGUCCGCUCCAUCCAUGGCAGAACCGCAAGCCAUGCCUAGCCGCGUCCGCUCUCCGUCUGCGUGCAGAUCCACGCGCAUAACCGCCCAACUUCGCCCCGCUUCCGCGCCAUCCAUGGUAGCCACCUCGGAUCAGGGCGCCCCAGCCUCCAUGGAAGCCCUCAGCGCGCAGAACCUUCCAACUGCGCCCCACGUCCGCGCCGUCCAUGGAAGCCGCCCCUGAUCUAUGCGCCCCACCUUGCAACUGCGCGCAGAUCCCUCCAUGGAAGCCGCGCUAACCUUGACCCAACUGCGCCUACACUCCGUACAUGGAAGUCGUCGCUAACCUCGACCCAACUGCCAAAUACGGUGUCUCCCACCCGGAUCUGCGCGCCCCAAAUUAUGGUACAGCGUAGACAAAGGCUAACCUUCCAUUGGCAGCGCGUAGAUCAUCCGAGGUGGACCUAUAAGAUGUCAAGUGUGUACGCCCCAACAACCCACAGAUGCGGCUCGACACUCUCCAUCGUCUGGUAUACCAGGGGGAAAACAUGGCUGCUAUCAUUGGCUAGAACUGAAGAGACCAUACACCAUACAGGAGAAAUGCUAAACAAUAUUUGAAGAUAAUAGUUGGGACUCAUGACUCAUCCAUUGAUGUGUUGCACUAAAAAAGAUGGGGAUGGCGUUCAACAGCCUAGAGAUUAAGAUGAUGCAAGCUUGGCACAAAUGAUGGGUCGUGAACCAGGAGAUAAUUUCCAAGACUUGAUAAAAGAGUAUGGCGUGUACUGAAGGGUCCAUUCAACUACACGACUCGUGAUGAAGUUGGUAUACCCCGAGAAUGGUAACUUCUGACCAGCAUGGCAUAAGUCUGUUUCUAUAUCGACGGUAUCACUUCUCGGACAGAAUUGCGGCCUCGAUCCGCGCUCUCCAGGUUCCCCCAGAUUGACGCGUCCGCGCCGCGCUUGCCCAGAUCGAUGGAAUCUGCGGUCUCCAGAUGCGAGUCCGGGGCUCGCUAUCUGUGGAAGGCGAGGAGAGACGAAGUGACCUCGUCCAUGCCUCCACCGUUGGACGAGAAUAUCUUCUCCGAUCUCACCCUCUUCGCUCCACCGCAGGAGCCGCUCUCGCUAGAGAAGAAGUUGUGCCUCGUCAUGGGCCUCCACGACGGAUCAACCAAGUUCCAAGAAGAACGCCAAGGGGAACAAACCUAGAAAAGAAAGAAACAUAAUUUUUGAAGCUUUCAGAACGCCUAGAGAAGCUAUUGAAGGAGAAAAUAUGAGAACAACGAAUACCAAGUUAAGGUAGAGCUGGUCACAAAUUGGAAGAGGAGCUGAAGGAUCCAUCUUGGCAUCCUUUUAAGAUGAUUCAGGCUAUCAGAUAAGAUCGAGAUACUGAAAAUCAACUUUCAUGAGAGGAAGAAGAACGCUUGGGAAGAUUCAAGCUCAGAUGACAUUUCUGGUGUUAUCACACGCUUUGAUGGUGUUGACCUUCAGGUUUAUGAAACCCUCACUCAGUCACUCUCUAUUAUCUCUAUAUAUGAAACAGACAAUUUGGUGCUCAGUCCCAGUGAUGGUUAGGCUUCCUGUGCAUGUCCAAUGAUAAGGCAGUGUCCAGUAGUUUCACUGUUGACUACACUAUUUAUAGAGUGAAAGUUUGAAUAUGAGUAUGGUGAUGUGUAAGCUACUGUAGAUAGCCUAAUAAUUGAUUUCUUGGUUGCUCACAUAGCAUUAUUAAAGAACAUUUCAAGAUGUAAAAUCAUGCCUAUGGAAAGAUAGGUUUUAAGAGCAAGAUGUUGAGGAUGCGGAGACCUUGGACGAAUACCCUUCCAGAUUUGGAGUGUAAGCAAGUUUAGUUCAUGCGCUGAUGCUGCAAUUAUUGGUCCGGUGACACCUCCCUUACUAGAACUUUAGGUGACUUUAUCAUAUCAUGAUUCUCUUAAAAGCUACCUUGUUAGAACUCAUCAGUAUUCGAUUGUUGUUAGAUAUAACUAUUGAAUAAACUUAUUAUUAUGCCUUGACCAUUUGGUUUUAUCAUACUCUUAAAAGCUACCUUUAGUGGAUGUUUUUUGAAGCCACAAUUAUAUUGAAUUCAUCUGUUUCUAUAUUGUUUGGCAGUCAAGUCAAUGCCACAAUUAUGAGAUAUUGAAAUCGAUGGUAAUAUAUGUUUUUAUCGACUAAUUUAUGUGUCUAACCGCACGCACCACUUCUACGGUCGGCCUUAUGGCUUCUCCAUUGGGAAGAAUGUGUGCCUUCAAAGGAAGGUGAACUUAAGAGUAAAAGCAGCUAAUGAGUUAUAGUUUAACAAGGAUAGCUCAGCUAUCAAAAAGCUCCAGGUGAGCUCCACAUUUUUUUUAUUUAUGAUGAUACAAUGAUGUGUUGUUGACCCUCAACCAGUCGCUAAUCGUUUCUUUUUCCCUACAUUUUAGACUGGAGUCAAUAAGCUUGUUACUGCAGUUAUAGGGUGAUUAGUUUCACGUCUGCUACUUCCUAACUGGUGCAUAGAUAAUUUAACGCCGCUUGUGCGGCAACCUCCAUCUAUAUGUGACCUGCAAAAGAUAAAUCCUUAAAUAGUAGGUCAAUUGCGAAGAUUUGUUAGUGAUGAUCCGAUGAUCAAGAACCGGAGCACCUUCAAGGUACAGUUUCCUUUAUUUGCUAAACUGUGUUAAUUGUUUUGUUUUAUAAAAAUAGUGUAGUCAUGGCAUAUGUAUGCAUGCGUUGUAUUAGGAAACCAUGACUACGAAACAAUUAUGGUUAAGUCCAUAUAACUUUUCUAUGUGCUUGUUAUCUGUUUUCUUAUAGUGAUCUUCUAAACUUUUUGUCGAACUUUACUGUAGAGAAAAUAGAACUUCGAUGUAAGUUACAAAUAGGUGAACUAGACAAACCAUUCUGCUGUAGUUGACAAUCAUGAUAUUUGAAAAACGAGCUCACAACUAUAUUUCACACAAUUGAUGCUCCAAAUUAUUUUUCUGUAAUUGAAACCUAAUGUAGGAAUGUGUAGGAUAUUUGCUUUGCCUAUUAGAGAAAGAUUUGAUAGGAUGUUUGCUUUGCUUGGUUGGGAAAUAUUUGAUAGGAUGUUUGCUUUAACUGAUAGGAAAAUACCAACAUUCUCAUCUUCUUAUGGCCCUGUGCUUUUACUUUAUGUGCUAUCUAAAUAUAGAGUACAAUGUAAAGCUAUUUUUGCAGAUUGGAACUGCAGGGUGGUCGGGUUCUCAGAUGUAAGCUGCACAACAUUAUGCUAUUCUCCCCAUCGAUAUUGCACACUUUAACUUGUUACCAUAUUUAGUUCUUUUGUAUGCCUUUAUAGUGGCUUGUUAAUUUACACUGCUGGUUCCUGCAACCUUUUACAAAUUGGUAAAAAAUGAAAAUUGACAGAGGAAAAUUUGUGCUGAAGCUUUAUUCGUUCUUUGGUUAAGUGAUUAAUGAAUGAAAACAAAUUUGUAAAUAGUAAUAAGGUUUUUGUUCUAUCAAACACAAUCAAGAUUUGUUAGCUUGCUUGCUGCUGCUUAGAUCAAUAUUGGUUUCUCACAUCAACUAUGCUAAUGUUGAGGUGAUAAUCAGUCCUUCACUAGCAUAAGGAUGUAUAUACAGACUAAUUUUUGUCUCCGUUGCAUGGCAUUUGUGUUGUUGUAUACCGCUCAAGUACUGCUUAUGAGAUUGCUUGAACUUUAUCCUGGAACCUCAAGGGUUGUCGUUGGCCAAAGCUACAUCUAUCUUUCUUUCAGUGUUUUGCUGGAACUGAUAACGUUUUGAGUCUGCAGAAGAAUGAAUCAUAGAAAGUUAAUGUGUGCAUCCAUGGUUGUGGUCUUGACACGGCGGAGCGGACCUCGCUCGGGAAGCUGCUGCAGCCGGUAGACUAUUGAUUGGAACUUUUAGGUACAUAAGUUCUCCACAUGUAGAUGAGUGUUAUCGUCAUAGAUAUGGGGUCAAUCCCUGUUUUGUUCCCAUGGUUGAAAGUGAUGGUCUUCAUUUUGUUGGUUGUGACAAAAGUCAAAACCGGAUGGAGGUACUAAGCAAACAACAUAUGUUAUUCUUGGGUUUUGAAUUUCUUUUCCAAAAGAACCUGCUUGCACAUAUUAGCUGAUUGUGGAGCUACAAGAUCCCUUUUAUGUACGUGUUUAGUUGUGGAGCAGAUUGUGGAGCAGAUUGCGGGUUUUGAAUUUCUUUUCCAAAUGUCGUCUUCGCGCCCACCGCGGAGGGGUGGUGACCGAAGAGAUAGUGGCAGAGGCGUCCCUUGUGGGCUCUGCUCCUAUCUCGCGGUAUGAAGCCUUUAACUUAUGAGAUGAGAUAGGAGUCUGUGUUCUUAUCCCAGUAUAAGGUCUACAAUGGCACAAUGCUUGUACCAUCUGUUUUUGGGGUAACUUAUUUUUAUCAUGCAGUGCAUGUGACUUGAAACUUUGUGUUAGCCUUUAUUGCUUUCUACCUUAUGGCACCUGUAGUAGUGAACUGAUGAUAUUCUUGUGGACUCUGAAGCUUUGUUUGCCCAGAA